GUGUCAGCAGCCGCGGUAAAACGUAGGUGGCGAGCGUUAUCCGGAUUUACUGGGCGUAAAGGGUGUGCAGGCGGGGCGGCAAGUGGUGUAUGAAAGGGUGGGGCUUAACCCCACGAAGCUAUGCCAGACUGCCGCGCUAGAGGACGAGAGAGGGGCAUGGAAUUCCGGGUGUAGUGGUGAAAUGCGUAGAGAUCCGGAGGAACCCCAGAGGCGAAGGCGGUGCCCUGGCUCGUACCUGACGCUCAUACACGACAGCAUGGGGAGCGAACGGGAUUAGAAACCCCGGUAGUCC
rnacentral:rRNA from 1 species